rnacentral:rRNA from 1 species
GACGAACGCUGGCGGCGUGCCUAAUACAUGCAAGUCGAACGCUGAAGAGAGGAGCUUGCUCUUCUUGGAUGAGUUGCGAACGGGUGAGUAACGCGUAGGUAACCUGCCUGGUAGCGGGGGAUAACUAUUGGAAACGAUAGCUAAUACCGCAUAAAAUGGAUUAUCGCAUGAUAAUCCAUUGAAAGGUGCAAAUGCAUCACUACCAGAUGGACCUGCGUUGUAUUAGCUAGUUGGUGGGGUAACGGCUCACCAAGGCGACGAUACAUAGCCGACCUGAGAGGGUGCUCGGCCACGCUGGGACUGAGACACGGCCCAGACUCCUACGGGAGGCAGCAGUAGGGAAUCUUCGGCAAUGGACGGAAGUCUGACCGAGCAACGCCGCGUGAGUGAAGAAGGUUUUCGGAUCGUAAAGCUCUGUUGUAAGAGAAGAACGAGUGUGAGAGUGGAAAGUUCACACUGUGACGGUAUCUUACCAGAAAGGGACGGCUAACUACGUG